rnacentral:rRNA from 1 species
GGGCCCGCACAAGCAGCGGAGCGUGUGGUUUAAUUCGAUGCAACACGAAGAACCUUACCAAGGCUUGACAUGACAGAAGUAGCUGAAGGAAACGGAUGCGAACUGUUAAAUCAGUAACUGCCACAAGUGCUGCA